rnacentral:rRNA from 1 species
GGAAUUGACGGGGAGCACCACGAACGGGUGGAGCUUGCGGUUUAAUUGGAUUCAACGCCGGAAAUCUUACCGGGACCGACAGCAAUAUGAAGGCCAGGCUGAAGACUUUGCCGGAUUAGCUGAGAGGUGGUGCAUUGGCCGUCGUCAGUUCGUACUGUGAAGCAUCCUGUUAAGUCAGGCAACGAGCGAGACCCACGCCCACAGUUGCCAGCGUACUCUCUGGAGUGACGGGUACACUGUGGGACCGCCGCUGCUAAAGCGGAGGAAGGAAUGGGCAACGGUAGGUCAGUAUGCCCCGAAUAUCCCGGGCUACACGCGAGCUACAAUGGUUGGUACAAUGGGUAUCUACCCCGAAAGGGGACGGGAAUCUCCUAAAACCAAUCUUAGUUCGGAUUGAGGGCUGCAACUCGCCCUCAUGAAGCUGGAAUCCGUAGUAAUCGCGUUUCAACAGAACGCGGUGAAUACGUCCCUGCUCCUU